rnacentral:ncRNA from 1 species
AGGAGCCGUGCGCGAUGAAAGUCGCAUGCACGGUUUUGUAUGAGAGAAAGAAGCGAGGAAUCUUCAUUUCGACUUUGAC